rnacentral:lncRNA from 1 species
UUGUGUCAGGAAACACGCCUAGAGUGUUGGCUGGCACAGAGAAAACAGUUACUAAAUAGAAUUAUUGCUAUUUUUAUUGUUGGUUUGUGCAGAGCAGAAAGGGAGGAACUUUACUGUUAGUGCCCUAAGCUUUAUUCCUGCCACAGAACUGUAGUUUCUGGUUAUUGAGAGGCCUGGAAGGAAAGAGGAAAUGGAUAGCUCAGUGAAGCCACCCCCUCCCUGGGAGGGGAGCCACCUGAAGCCCAGAGGAAUGGGGCUACUUGCCCAAACAAACACAGCAGUUUGGUGACACAGCCAGGCUUCCAGCUCAGGUCUCACCUGGCCAGUCCCUCUCCCUCUGCUGGCGGCCACUCUUGAGAGAAGAGGCAACUGACCGAAGGUUGCCUCUGUGGUGAGGCAGGGCUGCAAGCUCCUGUGCGUGGCCACCUCUGAGCUGUCAUGUGACACCUUCACCAUCCAGGAAGGGCAACUCUGAGGGCUGUUGGAAGGCGCGUCAAGUGCAGACAAUGCUGUUUGGUACCUCUGAAGGGCUCACCAAAGAACCAUGGUUUGCCAUUUAUGCAUCCAUUCAUUUGGGAGAAAUCUAUGGCAUGCUUCCCCCAGGCCAGACGUCAAGGCGGUUUUCAGACUUUCUAAGACCUAGACACACUUGCUUUGGAAGCUCCAACUCACACAUAUCAAACAUAGUGUAAUUCACCCAUAUUCCAUAUUAAGUGUAUUUUUUUUUCUGUAAAGAAAAAUAAAGAUUAUUUUUAUAACUUCACGUUUGGAAUUAUUUGGCUACAAGUAAUUCAUUCGAUCUAUGCCUGUCUUUGAUUUCUCAGCAGUGAUGGGGGUACUCAAGAAUUCUUGCAAAGUGAGAAAAUCUAACCGGCACAUCGUUUCCAAGUCUAAUGAAAUUUUUAUGAAUUUUUAUGAAUACUAAAUGAAACCAUUAAUGUGGUUGAUGUAAUAUUUUGUUUUGGA